rnacentral:rRNA from 1 species
CCGACGGUGAGAGACGAAAGCUGGGGGCACGAACCGGAUUAGAUACCCGGGUAGUCCCAGCCGUAAACGAUGCUCGCUAGGUGUCUGGGAUGGUGCGACCGUUUCAGGUGCCGCAGGGAAGCCGUGAAGCGAGACACCUGGGAAGUACGGCCGCAAGGCUGAAACUUAAAGGAAUUGGCGGGGGAGCACUACAACGGGUGGAGCCUGCGGUUUAAUUGGACUCUACGCCGGAAAACUCACCUGGGGC